rnacentral:rRNA from 1 species
AGUAAUGUCUGGGAAUCUGCCCAGUAGUGGGGGAUAGCUCGGGGAAACUCGAAUUAAUACCGCAUACACCCUACGGGGAAAAGGGGGCGCUUGCGCUCUCGCUAUUGGAUGAGCCUAAGUCGGAUUAGCUAGUUGGUGGGGUAAAGGCCUACCAAGGCGACGAUCUGUAGCUGGUCUGAGAGGAUGAUCAGCCACACCGGGACUGAGACACGGCCCGGACUCCUACGGGAGGCAGCAGUGGGGAAUAUUGGACAAUGGGGGGAACCCUGAUCCAGCCAUGCCGCGUGUGUGAAGAAGGCCUUUUGGUUGUAAAGCACUUUAAGCAGUGAAGAAGACUCUAUGGUUAAUACCCAUAGACGAUGACAUUAGCUGCAGAAUAAGCACCGGCUAACUCUGUGCCAGCAGCCGCGGUAAUACAGAGGGUGCAAGCGUUAAUCGGAAUUACUGGGCGUAAAGCGAGCGUAGGUGGCUUAAUAAGUCAGAUGUGAAAUCCCCGGGCUUAACCUGGGAACUGCAUCUGAUACUGUUAGGCUAGAGUAGGUGAGAGGGAGGUAGAAUUUCAGGUGUAGCGGUGAAAUG